UUAAAUGAUCCUCUACUGCCG
rnacentral:piRNA from 1 species